AAGCAAAACAAUCGGGCUUGCCAGGCCAGCUCCCAGAAGUCAGCGGCUCAUGGCAACGUGCUUCUUUUGGGUGCCAGCGCUGAGCCUGUGUCUAUGUCUGCAGCGUAUGUAAAUACUGGCGCACCUCCGCAUUGGUAAAGCCGUAGGUGUGCAUGGUCUGUUCUCACGCG
ensembl:antisense Gm11379 predicted gene 11379